UAAACCUCCAAAAUUUCCGGCGGUUUAACCCGCCCCUAAAUAUUUUAAUGUAAUUCUCAAAAUAUCUAUCUGCCCCGCGGUUCAUUUCUUCUGCCAUAAUCAUUUCCUAAACCUUCACUCUGCCUUAUUCUCUCUGACCUUCGCUCUCUACCUUGGUCAUGAACCUUCGCUCUCUGCCUUCAUCCUCAAACCCUAUUUUCUCGCUCAUUGCCUUCGUUUCCUCGCUCCCUAAAACUUCACCAGAAUCAUUUUCCCCCAAAUUUCCUGCACCAUCUUCGUGUUAUUCUUCCCUUGCUUGGGCUGAGAAUUUUGUUCGUCGUCGAGGCGUCGAGGCAUCGAGGCAUCGUGGUGCUCUGUUGGCUUUUGAAUAAUCCUAUUCACUUUGAUCCCUUUCUCGCAGCUUCCAUUUGCAAUUCACGUUCUCUUUGAUCGGGCUUUUCUUGCUCCUCAGAUUCCCAAUUCCAAUCGCGUCUCGCUAGAUCAGAGGGGGAAUUUCUGAAAAUAUUCCAAUUCCACGUUUGGUUUCGGCUUUCUCAACUCAAAUGCGGGGUUCGGUGGGUCUUAGGGAUGAAUUAACUUAAUCACCUCGUUUCUAGCUGUGAGUUUUAAUUUCUUCUUCUUCUUCGGACCUGCCUCUGCUUCUUUUUUCUUUUUUUUUGUUUCUUUCCUUUCUCAGCUGAUGAACUGCAGUGAGAAGUGAAUGAGUAGUUGGGUGAAUGAAUUACAGUGUAAUAGAAUAUAAGAAAGAAAAUUGAAGUAGCUAGAGAGUCUAACUCUGUUGUUUGUUUGUGCCUAGAACGCAAUCCAGUAAUAAUAAUAAUGGUAAGAAAUUUGGGACGUAUUUGCCGCCGAGAAAGGAAGCGUCGUACGUUGAGUAGUGGCGGUGAAGGGUGUUGGCAGUUCCAACUUGAGAUUUUCUUCGAGAUUAUGAGAUUGGACAGAAAUAACUAUGUUGUUUUUAGCUUAGGUUAGCUUUAUCAGCUACCUGGUGAUGGAGAUGGCUUUUCAACAGAACUUAUUUUUUUCCUUUUUUCCUUUUCCAACUAGUAGUGUAGCAGCAGCUUCGUGAUGGAUUGAUUGAAAUCAAUGUUUUCAUAGAAAAGGACUGCCGCUGCAAUGCAAUACAAUGCAAUCUCUCUUUAACCCUCUUUAUUGAAUCAUCAAAUUAGUUUUUUUUAACCCUCUUUUUAAAAAUGUUAGUUUAGGGUUGAUGUAGAUGUGUAGCCGAGCUCACUCACUCACUAAUUAGAUUUCCUUUUAAGUUGUAGCUAGUUGUGGUGUGGAUUAGAUGGAGUAGGGUAAAGAGUAAAAUGAAAAAAUGUAGAAAUGAUUGAUAGUGGUGGAGACGUAUUUAUCCAAAAACAAAGAAGAGAAGAAGAAAGGAAUGAAAGAAAGAAGGGGCAGAGAUGGGACAGAGACAGAGAUGUUGGAGGAAUUGGUCUUGUAAAUUAGAGAAUCUGUAACUUUGAUAAGAGACUAGAAAAUGUCUUUGAGGAACUUAGCAACAAACCUGAUGGUAUGCCGCAGGAGAAGGAGAAAAUGCUCAUGGAUUCCAUGGAUAGGAUAAAAUCUGUUGAGUCUGACCUUGAAAAGACCAAGAGGGUACUACAUGCUACAGUGAUGAAGCAGCUUGAGAUUGCUAAUUUGCUGGAGAACUUGAAGAAAACAAAGUGCCGACAAAGAAGGCUAUUCUGUUGAACCAUUUAAACGUUCAGCAACACAGACACUUGGAACCACAGAAAAUAUUUCCAUCAAAGAGAAGACAGUGCAAGUUCACACCUAGAUUGGACCAACAAAAGCUGUGGCAAACGGAGGACACAUUUCAAGCAUAAUAAGUUUGGGUAGAUCAUACAUAGAAACACGAGGAAUCGAGAUGGUACUACACAGUCCACUUUCUUUUUAUAAAUAUGAUUAUAAUAAAAUAUAUAAUAUAGAUUUCCUUUCAAAUCUGAUUUGUAAUUUUUCCUAGUAAAUAAAUAGGUGUAAAGGUGUAAUUAUGCAUGGACGAGAUAUUCUCUUAAGUUUAGACAGUUUUGAGAAUAGAAAGAAAAUGAAAAAGUUUAUACUGCAGAAAGUUUAGUAAACCCCUCCCUUUUUUGUUGCAGCUAAAGGAUUUUGAAAAUAUUUUUAAGAAACAUUGGAAUGUUGAAGUCAUGAGAUGGAUCUGUAAUAGUAAUAGUCUAUUUUCCAUUUUGGUGCAUGUAAGACUGCCUUCAUUAUCACAAAUUUGCAAGNAUUUAUUGUGUUU